CUAGUGAGGGCGGAACUUGGGUCACAUGACACUGUACUUAAGUUGACCGUAGCUAGUUGAUCGAGUAAAACCCUGAAAGCAUUUGUUGUAGGCUACCUAGUAGCUAUUAAAGGCCUUAACUAAGACUAUUAGAUAGUAGAGAACUUGUUUCCUGCUGCGCAAGACAGAGUGCAGCCAAGCAAGAAAGUUAGGAGGAGAAAUCAGGGACAAUUCAGCAGGAUUUCAUCAGUAUAUGAUAUGUACAUCAGGAUUCCAGGAAAAGAUAGGAUCUAACUAAACUGGAACAAAUGCUUAUUUUAUAAUUAGUUUUACAAGGAAAUUUCAUGUUAAUUGGUCACAUGAUAA